rnacentral:rRNA from 1 species
GACGAACGCUGGCGGCGUGCUUAAUACAUGCAAGUCGAACGGAAAGGCCCUGCUCUUGCGGGGUGCUCGUUUGGCGAACGGGUGAGUAACACGUGAGUAACCCGUCCUUGUCUUUGGGAUAUCUUCAGGAAACUCGGGCUAUUAUCCGAUAGGAUCUUCUGCUGCACGGUGGGGGUUGGAAAGUUUCGGCUGUUGGGGCUGGACUCGCGGCUUAUCCGCUUGUUGGUGGGGUAGUGGCUUACCAAGGCUUUGACGGGUAGCCGGCCUGAGAGGGUGAACGGCGACAAGGGGACUGAGAGACGGAGCAGAAUCCUACGGGAGGCAGCAGUGGAGAAUAUUACACAAUGGGCGGAAGCCUGAUGCAGCAACGCCGCGUGCGGGAUGACGGCCUACGGGUUGUAAACAGAUUUCGACGGUGACGAAGCGUGAGUGACGGUAAUGGGUAAAGAAGCACCGGCUAACUACGUG